GAAUCACAAGGAUUUAAACUUUUUCAUCGAAUACAGAACCUUGACUCUGGCGAUCUGUUGGUUUCCGAUAUGUUCCAAUGUUGCUGGAGGUGUAACCGGGGCAGUGUAUCUUCGAAUAUGACAGUUUUCCUGGGACAUACUGCCGCUGUACUGUGAAGUUCAUCAUCAUCAUUUGAGUUUAUGAGCAUGGUUCACUGCCAGAUCGUUGCUGACGUAGCUAACGGAUUGCGCGACAUUUUGAUGAAUUUAAACUCGAAUAUGCGCUGUGAACUACAUUGGCGAACCCGAGCAAUGCUACCACCGGAAUAAAGGGACCAAGUCGGUGCUGAGUUAAUGUCCGCUGGUGGCUUCCUAAUAUUGACGCACAUUUGUUGAACGUAAAGAA